rnacentral:tRNA from 1 species
GGAGAGGUCGCAUAGUGGCCGAGUGCGUCGGUCUUGAAAACCGAUAGGGUAGCAAUACUCUCGUGGGUUCGAAUCCCACUCUCUCCG